UACGGUGGGGGUAAGCGUUGUUCGGAAUUACUGGGCGUAAAGGGCUCGUAGGCGGCCAACUAAGUCAUACGUGAAAUCCCUCAGCUUAACUGGGGAACUGCGUGUGAUACUGGAUGGCUUGGAUUUGGGAGAGGGAUGCGGAAUUCCAGGUGUAGCGGUGAAAUGCGUAGAUAUCUGGAGGAACACCGGUGGCGAAGGCGGCAUCCUGGACCGAUACUGACGCUGAGGAGCGAAAGCCAGGGGAGCAAACGGG
rnacentral:rRNA from 1 species